GACAGAGGUCCCAAGCGUUGGGCGGAAUCACUGGGCUUAAAGCGUGUGUAGGCGGAUUUGUAAGUACCUUGUGAAAUCCCACGGCUCAACCGUGGAACUGCUUGGUAUACUGCUUAUCUUGGGCCAUCUAGGGGCGAGCGGAACAAACGGUGGAGCGGUGAAAUGCGUAGAUAUCGUUUGGAACGCCAAUGGUGAAAACAGCUCGCUGGGGAUGUGCCGACGCUGAGAUACGAAAGCCAGGGGAGCGAACGGG
rnacentral:rRNA from 1 species